rnacentral:rRNA from 1 species
UUUGGCUCAGGAUGAACGCUGGCGGCGCACAUAAGACAUGCAAGUCGAACGGACUUAACCGUUAGUUUACUAAUGGAGCGGUUAGUGGCGGACUGGUGAGUAACGCGUAAGCAAUCUGCCUGUUAGAGGGGGAUAACAGUGAGAAAUCACUGCUAAUACCGCAUAUGCUGUGAACAUCACAUGAUGUAAACAGGAAAGGAGCAAUCCGCUAAUAGAUGAGCUUGCGUCUGAUUAGUUAGUUGGUGAGGUAACGGCCCACCAAGACGAUGAUCAGUAGCCGGACUGAGAGGUUAAACGGCCACAUUGGGACUGAGAUACGGCCCAGACCCCUACGGGAGGCAGCAGUGGGGAAUA